UACGUAGGGUGCAAGCGUUAAUCGGAAUUACUGGGCGUAAAGCGUGCGCAGGCGGUUUUGUAAGUCUGUCGUGAAAUCCCCGGGCUCAACCUGGGAAUUGCGUUGGAGACUGCAAGGCUAGAAUCUGGCAGAGGGGGGUAGAAUUCCACGUGUAGCAGUGAAAUGCGUAGAUAUGUGGAGGAACACCGAUGGCGAAGGCAGCCCCCUGGGUCAAGAUUGACGCUCAUGCACGAAAGCGUGGGGAGCAAACAGG
rnacentral:rRNA from 1 species